rnacentral:rRNA from 1 species
UACGAGGGGGGCGAGCGUUGUUCGGAAUUAUUGGGCGUAAAGGGUGCGUAGGCGGUUCCGCAAGUCCUGUGUGAAAUCUUCGGGCUCAACUCGAAGUCUGCACGGGAAACUGCGGGGCUUGAGUGUGGGAGAGGUGAGUGGAAUUCCCGGUGUAGCGGUGAAAUGCGUAGAUAUCAGGAGGAACACCUGUGGUGUAGACAGCUUACUGGACCAUUUCUGACGCUGAGACACGAAAGCGUGGGUAGCAAACAGG